rnacentral:rRNA from 1 species
CAGGUGUUCUUCCCAAUAUCUACGCAUUUCACCGCUACACUGGGAAUUCCGGUUGCCCCUUCUGUACUCUAGCUCAGCAGUUUCGAAAGCAGUUCCGGGGUUGAGCCCCGGGCUUUCACUCCCGACUUGCUGUGCCGCCUACGCGCCCUUUACGCCCAGUAAUUCCGAACAACGCUUGCCCCCUACGUAUUACCGCGGCUGCUGGCACGUAGUUAGCCGGGGCUUACGUCAGGUACCGUCAUCCCCGCAGAGUAUUCUUCUGCGGGAUUUCUUUCCCGACUUUCGAAGUUUACAUCCCGGAGGGAUUUCGUCCUUCACGCGGCGUUGCUGGGUCAGGCUUUCGCCCAUUGCCCAAAAUUCCCCACUGCUGCCUCCCGUAGGAGUCUGGCCCGUGUCUCAGUGCCAGUGUGGCCGACCGCCCUCUCAGGCCGGCUACCGAUCGCAGCCUUGGUGAGCCGUUACCUCACCAACUAGCUAAUCGGGCGCGGGCUCCUCUUCAGGCGAGAGGUCCCUUUCGGGAUCCCCCCCUUUAACAACUGUCACCAUGCGGUGCCGCUGCGUUAUGCGGUAUUAGCGUCCCUUUCGGGACGUUAUUCCCCACCCAAAGGCAGAUUACCCACGUGUUACUCACCCGUGCGCCACUCUCCGGGGGCCGAAGCCCCCUUCCCGUUCGACUUGCAUGUGUUAGGCACGCCACCAGCGUUGAUUCUGAGCCAGGAUCAAACUC